UAUCAACAAUACAUUUUCGGCGAUUGUCGAAGCGAUUUGUUAGAUUAAAUAGGUGUCGAAUGCGAAUUUAGUUUUAAAAAAUGAAUAUUUCUUGUUAUGAGUAUGAAAUGGAAGGUUUAUCUGAUCGAAAAGAAGUGACCGCGGAGGAUUCUGUCGACGUAAUAGUAUAUAUUAUUUUGGAUCUGGCGGAAUCCGCUGAGAAAUUGGGCAUGGACCAAGAUCCAUUGGAAUGAGAUGAAGAAGUGAAUGUCAUGGAUGAAGGUGA